CUGGAGACCAAGCACAAGGAGUCCUUGAAGUCAAGGUGACUCUCUCUGCUGGGAGCCUCCAAAAUGAAAAGGUAGAUUGAACAGGUCUUGUGUGCACAGUAAAAGCAAGACCUACUCAUCUACCCACAGCA